UUCGAGUCAGGCCUAACACAUGCAAGUCGAGCGGUAGAGAGAAGCUUGCUUCUCUAGAGAACGGCGGACGGGUGAGUAAUGCCUAGGAAUCUGCCUGGUAGUGGGGGAUGACGUCCGGAGAGGGACGCUAAUGCCGCAUACGUCCUACGGGAGAAAGCAGGGGACCUUCGGGCCUUGCGCUAUCAGAUGAGCCUAGGUCGGAUUAGCUAGUUGGUGGGGUAAUGGCUCACCAAGGCGACGAUCCGUAACUGGUCUGAGAGGAUGGAUCAGUGACACUGGAACUGAGACACGGUCCAGACUCCGACGGGAGGCAGCAGUGGGGAAUAUUGGACAAUGGGCGAAAGCCUGA
rnacentral:rRNA from 1 species